rnacentral:tRNA from 1 species
GGAGGCGUGGCAGAGUGGUCGAAUGCGCUAGUUUCGAAAACUAGUAUGUGGGAAACCGCAUCGGAGGUUCGAAUCCUCCCGCCUCCG